rnacentral:siRNA from 1 species
AGAGUUUCUAUGUACCUUCCC